rnacentral:rRNA from 1 species
AGAGUUUGAUCCUGGCUCAGACGAACGCUGGCGGCGUGCUUAACACAUGCAAGUCGAACGAUGAAGCCCUUCGGGGUGGAUUAGUGGCGAACGGGUGAGUAACACGUGGGCAAUCUGCCCUUCACUCUGGGACAAGCCCUGGAAACGGGGUCUAAUACCGGAUAACACUCCUGCCUGCAUGGGCGGGGGUUAAAAGCUCCGGCGGUGAAGGAUGAGCCCGCGGCCUAUCAGCUUGUUGGUGGGGUAAUGGCCCACCAAGGCGACGACGGGUAGCCGGCCUGAGAGGGCGACCGGCCACACUGGGACUGAGACACGGCCCAGACUCCUACGGGAGGCAGCAGUGGGGAAUAUUGCACAAUGGGCGAAAGCCUGAUGCAGCGACGCCGCGUGAGGGAUGACGGCCUUCGGGUUGUAAACCUCUUUCAGCAGGGAAGAAGCGAAAGUGACGGUACCUGCAGAAGAAGCGCCGGCUAACUACGUGCCAGCAGCCGCGGUAAUACGUAGGGCGCAAGCGUUGUCCGGAAUUAUUGGGCGUAAAGAGCUCGUAGGCGGCUUGUCACGUCGGAUGUGAAAGCCCGAGGCUUAACCUCGGGUCUGCAUUCGAUACGGGCUAGCUAGAGUGUGGUAGGGGAGAUCGGAAUUCCUGGUGUAGCGGUGAAAUGCGCAGAUAUCAGGAGGAACACCGGUGGCGAAGGCGGAUCUCUGGGCCAUUACUGACGCUGAGGAGCGAAAGCGUGGGGAGCGAACAGGAUUAGAUACCCUGGUAGUCCACGCCGUAAACGUUGGGAACUAGGUGUUGGCGACAUUCCACGUCGUCGGUGCCGCAGCUAACGCAUUAAGUCCCCGCCUGGGGAGUACGGCCGCAAGGCUAAAACUCAAAGGAAUUGACGG